rnacentral:lncRNA from 1 species
GUGGCGUGUGCAGUAAGGCCACGGAGCCCUCGGUCUCCCUGCAACAUCGCUGUGCCAUCUGCCACAGAUGGAUACACAGUGAUUGUGCCUCUCUGUCAGGGCCUCCUGAGGAGAAAUGCAUCUGUGUGCUCUGCAAAGAAAUCCCAGAUGAGGUUCUGAUCGAGUCUGAGGUGUUAUCGACGCAAGAAGAUGAGAAAGCUGAUUUAGAGGUGCCAAUGGAAUUAGGGACAGAGCUUGAGGUGGUUGAAACGGCAGAAGUGAAAGAAAGCAUUACGGAGGAGGAACUACGGCCAGAAGGUGCUGAGGGCUCCACAGAGACUAAUGCGCACAGUGAGGUCUCUACAGAGCAGCAGGCCACUUUAGCUACGGUUUCAGACGUUGAUGAAAAACAAAAAGAGGAGACAACUACCAUUGAAGCAGUGGUUACAGAGGCCAUUGUGGAAAAAUCAGAGGAUACUCAGGACCCUCCUGUGAAGGAUAGCCCAGAUAGUCCUGUACCGGACACUAUAGAGGAAGCCCAAUCUGAUGUUGCUGAAACUAACAUAGAAAGGCAGGAGGAGUCGCAAGGGCAAG